rnacentral:rRNA from 1 species
ACUUGGCUAUUGUUGACGAUGAAGAACGUAACAAGUUGCGAAAAGUAAUGUUGACAUGCAAAACUCGUGAAUCAUCGAAUUUUCGAACAUAUCCAAUGCUUCUCUCUUCUACGGAAUUGCGAAGCGCUUACUUGUGAGUGCCAGUUUUUCUUACUUACUGGAACUGAGAAAGUG